GACGAACGUUGGCGGCGUGCUUAAUACAUGCAAGUCCACUGAAGCAGUGGUAGCAAUAUCGCUGUGGAGGUGGCGCACGGGUGAGUAACACGUAGGUAAUCUGCCUUCAGGUCUGGCAUAACUCCGUGAAACCGGGGCUAAUAGCAGAUGAUGCAGCGGCUCGACAUCGAGACAGUUGUUAAAGCUAUGGCGCCUGAAGAUGAGCCUGCGUCUGAUUAGCUAGUUGGCGGGGUAACGGCCCACCAAGGCAACGAUCAGUAGCUGGUCUGAGAGGAUGAUCAGCCACACUGGAACUGAGACACGGUCCAGACUCCUACGGGAGGCAGCAGUAAGGAAUAUUGCUCAAUGGGAGAAAUCCUGAAGCAGCAACGCCGCGUGAGGGACGAAGGGCUUUGGCUUGUAAACCUCUGUAGUGAGAGAAAAAAAUCCCAAUCUUUGGGACAUGAUGGUAUCUCAAAAGUAAGCCCCGGCUAACUACGUG
rnacentral:rRNA from 1 species